ACGGAUAUCUCGGCUCUUGCAUCGAUGAAGAACGUAGCGAAAUGCGAUACCUGGUGUGAAUUGCAGAAUCCCGCGAACCAUCGAGUCUUUGAACGCAAGUUGCGCCCGAGGCCUUUUGGCCGAGGGCACGCCUGCCUGGGCGUCACGCCAAACACGCUCCCACC
rnacentral:rRNA from 1 species